rnacentral:rRNA from 1 species
GAUGAACGCUGGCGGCGUGCCUAAUACAUGCAAGUCGAGCGAACAGACGAGGAGCUUGCUCCUCUGAUGUUAGCGGCGGACGGGUGAGUAACACGUGGAUAACCUACCUAUAAGACUGGGAUAACUUCAGGAAACCGGAGCUAAUACCGGAUAACGUGUUGAACCGCAUGGUUCAACAGUGAAAGACGGUCUUGCUGUCACUUAUAGAUGGAUCCGCGCCGCAUUAGCUAGUUGGUAAGGUAACGGCUUACCAAGGCAACGAUGCGUAGCCGACCUGAGAGGGUGAUCGGCCACACUGGAACUGAGACACGGUCCAGACUCCUACGGGAGGCAGCAGUAGGGAAUCUUCCGCAAUGGGCGAAAGCCUGACGGAGCAACGCCGCGUGAGUGAAGAAGGUCUUCGGAUCGUAAAACUCUGUUAUUAGGGAAGAACAAAUGUGUAAGUAACUAUGCACGUCUUGACGGUACCUAAUCAGAAAGCCACGGCUAACUACGUG